CAAGUGAUGCAUGCAGCUCUUUACAGGGAUUUCUGGCUACAGAUUGUAUCAGGUGCACCUAGGAUCCCAUGGGUCAACACGUCACAGUCCACAGAACCCUAUAAAUACUGGGACAAUCUGUCUCAUCUUCCAUCUCGCUUUGCCUGGUGCAUCUUCUCUGCAGUGACACUGAGAUCUCAGCCGACUUUCAGCCAUGAAGGGCCUCUACCUGCUCUGUGUUGUUGCCCUCCUCCUCUUCCAUGCUGGUCCAGGUAAUGGCGACCCGAUUUCUCCCUGUGAGUCCAGUGGUGAUGGUCUCUGCAUAGGGUCUUUGGAAAUAUGCCGUUCUGGUAUAUUUCUGGAUCUAAUAUGCUUUUCAGGACGCUGCUGUAAAAAAUAGCGAAUAUGCUGAGCCGAAGUAAUAUACAAGGAGACGCCUCGCAGCAUCGUGAGAGAGAUUUGUACCCCUUCUUUGAAUAAAAUAUGUCCCAUCACA